UACGGAGGGUGCGAGCGUUGUCCGGAAUCACUGGGCGUAAAGGGCGCGUAGGCGGCGCGGGAAGUCAUCGGUGAAAGUUCAGGGCUCAACUCUGAAUCGGCUGGUGAUACUCUCGUGCUCGAGCACUGUAGAGGCAGGUGGAAUUCCGGGUGUAGCGGUGGAAUGCGUAGAGAUCCGGAAGAACACCGGUGGCGAAGGCGGCCUGCUGGGCAGUGAGCUGACGCUGAUGCGCGACAGCGUGGGGAGCAAACAGG
rnacentral:rRNA from 1 species